rnacentral:rRNA from 1 species
UUGAACGCUGGCGGCAUGCUUUACAUAUGCAAGUCGAACGGCAGCACGGGUGCUUGCACCUGGUGGCGAGUGGCGAACGGGUGAGUAAUGCAUCGGAACGUGCCCAUGAGUGGGGGAUAGCCCGGCGAAAGCCGGAUUAAUACCGCAUACGCCCGUUAGGGGGAAAGCGGGGGGAUCUUCGGACCUCGCGCUAUUGGAGCGGCCGAUGUCGGAUUAGCUAGUAGGUGAGGUAAAGGCUCACCUAGGCGACGAUCCGUAGCUGGUCUGAGAGGAUGAUCAGCCACACUGGGACUGAGACACGGCCCAGACUCCUACGGGAGGCAGCAGUGGGGAAUUUUGGACAAUGGGCGCAAGCCUGAUCCAGCCAUGCCGCGUGAGUGAAGAAGGCCUUCGGGUUGUAAAGCUCUUUCAGGUGGAAAGAAAUAGCGCUGUUUAAUAGAUGGCGUUGAUGACGGUACCACCAGAAGAAGCACCGGCUAACUACGUG